ACGUGAGGAACCUGCCUUUCAGUGGGGGACAACAGUUGGAAACGACUGCUAAUACCGCAUAAUGUAUUCUGACCGCAUGAUCGGAAUACCAAAGAUUUAUUGCUGAAAGAUGGCCUCGCGUCUGAUUAGAUAGUUGGUGAGGUAACGGCUCACCAAGUCGACGAUCAGUAGCCUGACUGAGAGGUUGAACGGCCACAUUGGGACUGAGAUACGGCCCAG
rnacentral:rRNA from 1 species